GCAUAUCAAUAAGCGGAGGAAAAGAAACCCAACAGGGGAUUGCCCUUAGUAACGGCGAAGUGAAGCGGCAACAGCUUCAAAUUUGAAAUCUGGCGCAAGCCCGAGUUUGUAAUUUGUAGAGGAUGCUUCUGGGUAGCGGCCGGUCUAAGUUCCUUGGAACAGGACGUCAUAGAGGGUGAGAAUCCCGUAUGUGACUGGCUUGCACCCUCCACGUAGCUCCUUCGACGAGUCGAGUUGUUUGGGAAUGCAGCUCUAAAUGGGAGGUAAAUUUCUUCUAAAGCUAAAUACCGGCCAGAGACCGAUAGCGCACAAGUAGAGUGAUCGAAAGAUGAAAAGCACUUUGGAAAGAGAGUUAAAAAGCACGUGAAAUUGUUGAAAGGGAAGCGCCCGCAACCAGACUUUGCGGCAGUGUUCGGCCGGUCUUCUGACCGGUUUACUCGCUGUCGUGAGGCCAUCAUCGUCUGGGACCGCUGGAUAAGACCUUAGGAAUGUGGCUCCCCUCGGGGAGUGUUAUAGCCUCUGGUGAUGCAGCGCGUCUCGGGCGAGGUCCGCGCUUCGGCAAGGAUGAUGGCGUAAUGGUUGUCGGCGGCCCGUCUUGAAACACGGACCAAGGAGUCUAACAUCUAUGCGAGUGUUCGGGUGUCAAACCCCUACGCGUAAUGAAAGUGAACGGAGGUGGGAACUUUUUGUGCACCAUCGACCGAUCCUGAUGUCCUCGGAUGGAUUUGAGUAAGAGCAUAGCUGUUGGGACCCGAAAGAUGGUGAACUAUGCCUGAAUAGGGUGAAGCCAGAGGAAACUCUGGUGGAGGCUCGCAGCGGUUCUGACGUGCAAAUCGAUCGUCAAAUUUGGGUAUAGGGGCGAAAGACUAAUCGAACCAUCUAGUAGCUGGUUCCUGCCGAA
rnacentral:rRNA from 1 species